UACGUAGGUGGCAAGCGUUAUCCGGAUUUAUUGGGUGUAAAGGGCGUGUAGGCGGGAGCGCUAGUCAGAUGUGAAAACUCAGGGCUCAACCCUGAGCCUGCAUUUGAAACUGUGUUUCUUGAGUGCUGGAGAGGCAAUCGGAAUUCCGUGUGUAGCGGUGAAAUGCGUAGAUAUACGGAGGAACACCAGUGGCGAAGGCGGAUUGCUGGACAGUAACUGACGCUGAGGCGCGAAAGCGUGGGGAGCAAACAGG
rnacentral:rRNA from 1 species